AACGAACGCUGGCGGCAUGCCUAACACAUGCAAGUCGAACGAGACCUUCGGGUCUAGUGGCGCACGGGUGCGUAACGCGUGGGAAUCUGCCCCUCGGUUCGGAAUAACACAGAGAAAUUUGUGCUAAUACCGGAUAAUGACUUCGGUCCAAAGAUUUAUCGCCGAGGGAUGAGCCCGCGUAAGAUUAGCUUGUUGGUGGGGUAAUGGCCUACCAAGGCGACGAUCUUUAGCUGGUCUGAGAGGAUGAUCAGCCACACUGGGACUGAGACACGGCCCAGACUCCUACGGGAGGCAGCAGUGGGGAAUAUUGGACAAUGGGCGAAAGCCUGAUCCAGCAAUGCCGCGUGAGUGAUGAAGGCCUUAGGGUUGUAAAGCUCUUUCAGUGGGGAAGAUAAUGACCGUACCACAGAAGAAGCCCCGGCUAACUCCGUGCCAGCAGCCGC
rnacentral:rRNA from 1 species